rnacentral:snRNA from 1 species
ACAAUUCAUCAUCCAUGAUCGGA